rnacentral:lncRNA from 1 species
GCAGGACAGUGGUGCUAAUUGAGUGAGAAAACAUAAUGCAGGGAGCUGUUGUCUGCAGCUGGGGCGGGGGUGACUAAGUGGCCCACCAUUGUUGGUGUCAGGCAGGCAGAUGUUGCGUUCUGUUGAUAACUGCACUGACAUCGCCGGAGCUUGUCACCGCAGCUUCUGCCCAGAGACUCUCGGCUCUGGCGGCAGAUGGCUCUGCUGAAUGGCCACGGAGGGUCCCAGCGGCCAGCCCGGCGUGUGGUGAGUAGGAAGUGGCUGCCUGGUAAACAGGAUGGGGCUCCAGGGCCUCUCCAGGUCCCCUGGGGAGAGUUCCCCGGAUGUUCUCAAGGCCUGAAGCACCUGCGACACUGGGAUAGGAUUGGCCAAGGCCAAAGCCAGGGUUCCUGGACAGAUCUGGAAAACUGUCUGGGCCUGGGCUGGCAGGAGGAAGAGCUGGGUCCUCUAGCCUGGAGAGUAGGCACCAGCUGCCCCAAGGGUGGGGAGAGAGCCAGGGGUGGCCUAGGCCUGGGUGAGGGGACAGGUUUCCUAGAGGGUCCCCCACAGCUGCCAGAGCCCGAAGGCUGUGCCCAGUGCCCCAGCCCAAUACAGCUACUGUGGAGUGGUCUUCUCCAAGGCCUCGGGGGCUCAGGGACAAAGCCCAUCAGACCUCAGCCCGGGGCCCCUCGUUGGCCCUGGCCCACCCACUUUGGUGACUGCUAAUCCCACACACUGGGCCUGGUCCAGGGAGGUCUCCUGGGUUGGUUGGCUUAUGUCUGUGGAAGUGGAUAUCUUAGAUGUACCUCAUAGCUAAGGGUGCACCCAGAGCUCAGGGCAUGCACGCUCAUGCUCCCUAGCAGCGAGCUGCUGCUGUAGCACUGGCAGACUUGGGUACCCCAAUAAGCCUGAUCUAGGACCAGCCCCACCCAGUCCACCUGAAGGCCCUCCAGGGUGACUGUCACAGGGGCCUUGGGCUGGGGACAGGGGCUCCUCCUCUGGGCCAGGAUCUGGAGCCCUCCACUGCCCAGAGAGGUGACCUCAGAGCUGCCCUGGGCCGGCCAGGUGCUUUUUUUUUUUGGUACUGGGGAUCGAACUCGGGUCCUUGCACUUGCGCAGCAGGCAGUGAAACCACUGAGCUAAAUCCCCGGCCCUGGGCCAGGUGCUUUUGACAAGGACUCCCCAAGGCCAGGUUGGUGCCUGGCUCUAGGUGGCCUCAUAAUGAGCCAGAGGUGACCCCUGUCCUCCAGGGCCCCCAGGAGGCAGUGACGGAAGCAGCAUUGAGGGAUGAGCAGGGUUGGGGGAUGGCAUUCCAGGUAGAGGGCCCCACAAUGCCUCAGGACUCCAGGGGACACCCCAGAAUAACCCAUCCCAUGCAGGGAAUGCUCAUUGGAUACCCAGCACUUUUCUCUCAGGCCCGUGGGAGCUCUGAAAGGAAAACUGAGGCCCUAAAUGGGGGUUCUGCUCAGGCUGCCUGGGUGGUAGACCCUGUAGGAAUCUGUCACCAGGAAGCUCCACACCCCAUCACCCACCCCUCUUGUCUGGCAGCGCCUCAAGGGCCCAGUGGGAUCCGUCCCUCCUGAUCCCCAGGCAGAACGAAGCUGCUGUCCAGGUGUGGAUGGGUAGAGCCCCAGGUUCAAAUUUCAGCUCCAUGGUGUGGGCAGCACUUCCUCGGGCCCUGGGGGGGCAGCUGAUGACUCUCACGAAUGGGAUCAGAGCGAGGGGCAGGGGGACCAAACUCAGCUGGGUCUGGUGAGGGGCUGCAGCUCCUACUGCAAGCCUCCAGGGCAGAUCUCUAUCUUUGCUGAUGCUCAGCAGCCCUGUCCCACACCAGGUCACCCUCCCAACACGUCAGACAAGGUGGCUUCACCAUUAUAGAUUAUUCUAGGUUUCACUCAACUCCAGAUGGUUCUCUGAGAUUUGUUUCUCUGUGCUUUUCUGUAUUUUCCAGGUAUUUCUCAAGGGCAUUUUUUUUUAAGUACUGUGGAUUGAAUCCAGAACCUUUGCACUGAGCUGCAUUCCCAGGACCCCCCUAUUUAAAAAAAAAUGUUUUUUGGAUACAGGCUCUCUCUAAGUCACUAAGUCUCCCAGGCUUUCCAUCCGCUUGCCUCAGCCUCCCAGAGCAGUAGGGUUGCAGGCAGGCACCUCCAUCCUCAGCUCAGUGGAGAAUUUAUAAUCAGAGGAAUGAGGAUGUGUGCGUAACCCACAUUCGGAUGUGGGUGGUGCUCUGAUGAACCAACCAGGGACACCUGGGGGUCAUCGCAUGGGUGUGGCUAGGCUGCCCUUAGCACUGCCCCUUCCUGGGCCUGGGGCCUGGCCCUGAGUGGCCCCCUCCUGAGACCCCCAUCCACACAUGGACAGGCUGACUCCGGGUCUAUGUGCCCAUUGCACAGCUACAAUGCACAGAACCACCAGCCCUGCCCCACCCCACUCCUCCAAGCUCACCUUGGGUCCCCUCAACUGAGAGCCAACCCUGGGCAGAUGGUCAAAUUUCUGUGACCACCAUCAGUACCCGAGGGGCAGCCCAUGUGCCUGGUUCUCUGAGGGCAGCUGAGAAGGUGCACGGCAGGCUCCUAAUGGGUGCUGUGGAAGGGGUCCCUGGUGCAUGCCAGGCCUCCCCAGGUAAACCCCAGCCAAGUGCUGACCUCUUAGCUUCCAUUACAUCCAGCUUCAGUUACAUUCACCCCUGGGGCUCUAGAGGGACCUGGGGAAGACUGGUGGGGCCUCAGCUGGGAGGCUGGAUGGUGACUCAGACAGGGUUUGGACUAGGGCAGGGGGAAGGGAUAUCCGGCCACAGGUGAGAAGCUGGGUGAGGCUUCAGGCCGCAUCCUGGGCACCUCCAGGAGGAGAGGUCGGCCUUGUGCAGGAACCCUUCAGUGGGGUAGUCACUCAUCACCUCAGACUCUGAACCUUACCGGGAAACUGACACCACCAGCAGGCUACCUCCCGGUGGGGGAGGGCAGAUAUGCUCUACUGCACACAGGUGAGCUGGUAUCAUUAACCAGAGUGAUGAGCUGGUGGCUAAAGAGCGCUGGGCACCCAAGCAGCUGGACCAGAACUGACCCACUGAGGGGAUGCCAAUAGCAGGGAGACUGAAUCUUGGACCUGCAGCCUGGGCACUGACCUGGGGGAUGUGGGCCUAGGCAGGGUCUCAGCCCCCAACACAGACCAGCAUGGGGCCAAGUCAGGGAUCCAAUGGACAGAGUGAGGGACAGGGGUCUGGGGGCUCUGGGCAGGGCUGGGGCUGCUUUGAGGAACCAGAGGACACGUGUAGGUUCCAUAGGACUAUUCCCAGCUCUUGGGGCUCCUCCUAGCCUAGCACUUAGAGUCAUUGAGAAUGAUGCAAGUGACAGGUUUGUGUGUGUUUGUUAAUUUACUUAGAUUCAUUCACAGGAACAGCUGGCUGGGUCCCGCCGGGCAGCCUCGCCUGCCCACCUGCCGCCAGACUGCUGGCUCCACACAGCGUGCUCACAGCCUCAGCGGCCGUGGCCCUGGCUGCCUGGACACCCACUCCUCCCUGGUGCUGGCCAGGGACCUUGCCUGGCAUGGUUGGAGAGUGCUGGAGGGCCAGCCACGCCUGAACAGGAAACCAGUGCUGGACACCAGCCUAAGGGACUGGGCAAGCCCUCAACCCCCCUGGGCCUCUGUCUGGAUCUUCCUGUUCCUUCCGGUUCCUCCAUCCUGGAAUUGGGGGACUCUAGGAUGCCCAGCCCCUCAACCCUCUGCAACCCAGGGGGACUGGCCACCCAAAGCUGUGGUGUGGGUAGAACUUGUUGAGAGAGGAGGAAGAGCCAGACAAGUCCUGGCACCCCACCCUCUGAUAAGCCCUGAAGGGGCCAGCCUGGGCUGAGCAUAGAGGAGAGAAUUCAGCCUGUGCCCUGCACCGGAGGGUUGUUGAUCGCACCUACCAGUGCCAUCACGUCUGGUCUGGGAUGGUGACAGAGGUUUGAGCACAGAGAGCUCGUUCAUAGAGUAGACAGCUUCCUCCCCUUCAUCUCCCUGUCCCCACAGCUUUGUUAUUUAAAGUCAGGUUAAGGAAAGGAAAAAAACAACCCACAGACAGGUUUGGCUGGGAAGCUUCGAGACAGGAAAAGUUAGAGAUAUUUAUUUGACAGGGUCAAGGUUGGAGCCCCUCUCUCCCUCUCUCCCCAGGUCCCAUAGGUGUUAGGCUGAGAGACAUUUAAUCGCGGGAGUAGCGGUUUCAUAUCUAUAACAAAAAUCAAAUAAUGCAAGAUGAUUUACUCCCCCUAGCAACCGUGGAGCUCACCCUUAGCAACCAGGCUAGCCUCGGGCUGCGGUGUAAUCAGCUUGAAAAUAUUUCAAUUAUUGUGUUGAUUUUAGUGGAUUUGAGAAGCGCUGUGUGGAGAGCCGGGCACAUUCUCCCCGCGACCUGGAGAGGAAGAUAUUGAUUUAAACAGGUGUCAGGGAGGGAAAGUAGAGUAAAUUUAAAUGCGACGGGAGAGCGGCACGUUGCACGCGGAACGGGGCGGGGAUGACAUUUUGCGCAUUGCCUUGAACGAAAGUGACUCAACUGGACUAGAAAUUUCACCUUGAAAAUCAUCUCCCAUCGACACAAUCAAACACCCCUACCACGACACCCCUGCAUCCCCCAAGGCAGUAGGGAGGGCUGGAGUGGCAGCAGAGGGGACUCCCAGUGUCCUCAGGCUGUAGAGGCCUGGUCUCCUGCAGUAUCCCCAGGAGGCCCUUUGGAGGGGCCAGGGGCACAGGCCCAGGGACCCGUGGCCUCCUGCCUCCUGGCCUCUGAGUCCCCCUCUGCAACCCAGGCAGGUGUUUCCUGAGGGCCCUGUGGCCUGCUGUCCCUCUGAGACCUCUGUGAGACCCAGCCAUCACCUAGCUUCUUGGGCCCUGGCAACCAGAGGUCCUCCGAGUGCACAAACGUGGCUUGAGGACAGGGCCACCCCUUUCCUGCUCCCAGCUGUCCAGGAGGAAAGGAGGAGACAGGCCUGGCUGCCAUACCCCCACCCCAGAAGUAGAGGCAGCCAGAGGGAGGAGGGCCAGGCCUGCCAGGCCCUGUGGUCUCAGCCCAAGGCUCCCCUGAGCCCCAUCCUCCUCCUGAGACUGGAGGCAAACUUGGGCCAGGUGAUGUGGUGCAGCUGUGCAUCUUGGCUUCCCCCUUGAGCUGGUCCUGGGGUGGGGGUUUUGAGCCACUUCUGGUCUACAUGACCCUGAGAACCCCAAAUGGAAAGGUCCAGGACAUGUUCUGGGUGCUCUCCUCUUCCUUUGAAGCUUCCCAAUGUGGAGAUGCUGGGGAGGCUUCUCUGUUUCCCUACCUCAGGCAGCUCUUCCUCUAUGACCCUCAGGGUGGACAAGAAGGGCCUCUGGCUGGUACUGCCCAGGCUGGACAGGUGACCUCUUCCACGUCCAGAGCUGCUGCCCCAAUAGGGCCCUGAGGGGCUGAGCACAGGCCUUCCUCGGGGCUGGACACUGACCAGGUCCUCCAGCUCCUCCUGCUGUGACAGCAGAUGUAGCCAGCUCCAGGGGCUGGAGGAGGAAGCAUCCACCUGUGACCCAGCCUGGCAAGAGGACGGCCACUGGUGGACAGGAAGGACCUCAGGCCUCAUGCACAGGGCCGCUCCAGGCCACCUCAAGGCAGUGCUGUAAUAGCAGGCCAUAAACUGCCCCUGUGGGAAGACCCCCAGCAGCAUCUCACCGCCCUGGAAGGAGACUGGCAAGCAUGUACAAUCUGUCCCUGUCCCCAGCCCCAUACCUGUCCUCCCACCUAGUCUGCUUCCCCCUAAACAAUCUUUCCCUUUCAGCCCUACGUGGCCUGUCCUUCCCUGCAACCCUAUGCAAUUGCCCACCUCCCUCUGACCAUGGUCCUCUGCUGUGGCUGGACAUUUAGGUCAGCCGGGCCACAGGGCUCUUGCCUCUGCUGCUCCCUGCUGAGAAGGCUUCUCUCAGCACUCUGCAUGGCCUCUCCUCCACUGCCUCUCCUCCACUGCCUCUGGAGGUCCUUUUUAUCCUCUGCAGUACUAGGGAUUGAACCCAGGGCCCUCACACUGAGCUAUAUCCUCAGCCAUUUUUAUUUUGAGACUCAUGAAGACUCACAGAGACUCAUGAAGUCACUCAAUCGUCCAGGCUCAAAUCCAUUAAGUCAAUGCUCCUGCCUCAGCCCUCAAGAGUGCCAAGAUUAUAGGUAGGUGUCACCAGGCCUGGCUUUCUGAGAGGUCUUUUCUGGCCAACCUGGAUAAAGCAGCUCCUUUUUCUUGUGCCUUGGCCUUAUUUCUGAUAUGACACUGAUCAGCACAGCACCUAGAACUGCCCAGGACAACCAGGUGGUACCUGCUGCCUGCUGCAUGCCAGGUAACAAGGUGUGGGGGCCAGGAGCCAGUGGCACCUGGUCAGAGGCCCAGAGUCUCUUGCAAAAUUGAGCUGAUUCACCCUUUCUGAGGUUUAGUUCUGCAUCUGCAAGUGGGGGCCCAGGGUCCUCUGCCCGUCUCUCAGUGCUGCAGUAAGCCCUGAGUAGGUGGGGCUGGGAACAGGGCCUGGCCUCUCUCUUUCCACCCUUCACAGGAAGAGAACUUGAACACUGGUCUCCACGGUGACCCUGGACAGACACCGCAGCAGAAGACAGGGGCUUCCGAGGCCCCUGCACAGCCACAGGACUGGUAACCAGGGAGCUACUGGGGGCAAGGCUUGAGGAAGACCCUCCCAUCGUGAGCAGCUUGGGUCUGGAUCCUGGAGUUCUGGGAAACAGGUGACAAGAAUCGUGGCUGUGCCGCCAGAUUUUCAUGGGACCCCAGGCAGUUCCCCAUCCUUGGGACACUCAGACGGCUCCACGGGGACAGGGACAGUUCUAGUGUUUACGGUCAUUCCCACACUCACAAAUGCAUCUGAUCCAGGCCCCAGGGACUCCUGGAAGUUGUUAUCAGGUGUCAUGUGCCUGUCACUUUCCAGGGGCAAGGCCCCCAGCUCUCACCAGGCUUCUCUAGGGGCAUCUCUCUGUUUUCCCCCCAAACAACCCCAGAAGACCCGAGGUGGGCGACCACUCCACACCACCUGUAAGUGGGAGCCGGGCUGCCAGCCCAUACCCCUCCAAGUAUGCUUAAUAUGGGCUGGAUUUACCACAAACACAGUUCUCCCUAGGUUUCCUGGCCCCUUUAGAAAAGCAAUAUGCCACCUAAAUGUGUGUUUUUAUUACUUUCUCUAUUAUAAGUAAAAAUAUUGUAAUACCAUCUGACGAUCCACCAGCUGUCUGCGCAAACGGUGGGUGCUGUUCCAGGGAAGUUGGGCUGUGGGUGUGGGACCGCUAUCUGGGGAGGGCACUCUUGGAUUUCUGCUGAGACUGGCCCCACAUAUGCCAGGCCACAUGUUCCUGGGCUGGGAGCUGAUAAUUGUGCCCAUUUAUCUUAUGAUAGCUGAAAGCUGCAAAACACUAUAAAAGAGC